rnacentral:rRNA from 1 species
UACGGAGGGUGCAAGCGUUGCUCGGAAUUAUUGGGCGUAAAGGGUAGGUAGGUGGUCUUAUUUGUCUGCGGUGAAAGCCUUGGGCUUAACCCAAGAAGUGCCGCAGAAACGGUAAGACUAGAGUCCUGGAGAGGGUCGUGGAAUUCCCGGUGUAGCGGUGAAAUGCGUAGAGAUCGGGAGGAACACCAGAGGCGAAGGCGGCGACCUGGACAGGUACUGACACUCAACUACGAAAGCGUGGGGAGCAAACAGG